AUUGAACGCUGGCGGCAGGCCUAACACAUGCAAGUCGAGCGGGGUUUUCGGACCUAGCGGCGGACGGGUGAGUAAUGCGUAGGAAGCUACCCGAUAGAGGGGGAUACCAGUUGGAAACGACUGUUAAUACCGCAUAAUGUCUACGGACCAAAGUGUGAGACCUUCGGGCCACAUGCUAUCGGAUGCGCCUACGUGGGAUUAGCUAGUUGGUGAGGUAAUGGCUCACGAAGGCGACGAUCCCUAGCUGGUUUGAGAGGAUGAUCAGCCUACACUGGAACUGAGACACGGUCCAGACUCCUACGGGAGGCAGCAGUGGGGAAUAUUGGACAAUGGGCGAAAGCCUGAUCCAGCAAUGCCGCGUGCAGGAUGAAGGCCUUCGGGUUGUAAACUGCUUUUGUACGGAACGAAACGGUGAGCUCUAAUACAGUUUGCUAAUGACGGUACCGUAAGAAUAAGCACCGGCUAACUACGUGCCAGCCGCCGCUGUAAUAC
rnacentral:rRNA from 1 species